CCAAUUUCAGCAUUUAACUCAGAUGCUGAACGUGAAGGAUAACGUUGCGACAGCAACGGCCCGAAGGGCGAGGCGAAGUCGAGUCAUCCUGCACGACCCACCA
rnacentral:sRNA from 1 species